UACGUAGGCAGCGAGCGUUGUUCGGAGUUACUGGGCGUAAAGGGUGUGUAGGCGGUUUUCUAAGUUUGGUGUGAAAUCUCCCGGCUCAACCGGGAGGGUGCGCCGAAACUGGAAGACUAGAGUGCGGGAUGGGAGAGUAGAUCCUGGUGUAGCGGUGAAAUGCGUAGAUAUCAGGAGGAAUACCGGUGGUGUAGACGGCUCUCUGGACCGCAACUGACGCUGAGACACGAAAGCGUGGGGAGCGAACAGG
rnacentral:rRNA from 1 species